rnacentral:rRNA from 1 species
CAAUAGCGUAUAUUAAAGUUGUUGCAGUUAAAAAGCUCGUAGUUGGAUUUCUGGUUGAAGCGACCGGUCGGGCGUUGAUUCGUCUGCACUGGAGUCGGUUUUGGCCAUCCUCUAGGAAAGUGCGUCUGGUAUUAAGUUAUCGGGCGUAUGAUCCUGGUCUUUUACUGUGAAAAAAUUAGAGUGUUUAAAGCAGGCCUUCGCCUUGAAUACAUUAGCAUGGAAUAAUAAGAUAGGACUUUGGUCUAUUUUGUUGGUUUGCAGACCGAAGUAAUGAUUAAUAGGGAUAGUUGGGGGUAUUUAUAUUCCGAUGUCAGAGGUGAAAUUCUUAGAUUUUCGGAAGAUAAACUUAUGCGAAAGCAUUUACCAAGGAUGUUCUCAUUAA